rnacentral:rRNA from 1 species
AUUGAACGCUGGCGGCAUGCCUUACACAUGCAAGUCGAACGGCAGCACGGGAGCAAUCCUGGUGGCGAGUGGCGAACGGGUGAGUAAUGUAUCGGAACGUACCUUCAGUGGGGAUAACGUAGCGAAAGUUACGCUAAUACCGCAUAUUCUGUGAGCAGGAAAGCAGGGGAUCGCAAGACCUUGCGCUGAUUGAGCGGCCGAUAUCAGAUUAGCUAGUUGGUGAGGUAAAGGCUCACCAAGGCGACGAUCUGUAGCGGGUCUGAGAGGAUGAUCCGCCACACUGGAACUGAGACACGGUCCAGACUCCUACGGGAGGCAGCAGUGGGGAAUUUUGGACAAUGGGUGCAAGCCUGAUCCAGCCAUGCCGCGUGAGUGAAGAAGGCCUUCGGGUUGUAAAGCUCUUUCAGCCGGGAAGAAAACGCAUGGGUUAAUACCCUGUGUGGAUGACGGUACCGGAAUAAGAAGCACCGGCUAACUACGUG